GAUGAAGAACGCAACGAAAUGCGAUAAGUAAUGUGAAUUGCAGAAUUCAGUGAAUCAUCGAAUCUUUGAACGCACAUUGCGCCCCCUGGUAUUCCGGGGGGCAUGCCUGUCCGAGCGUCAUUACAACCCUCAAGCUCAGCUUGGUGUUGGGCCCCGCCGCCCCGGCGGGCCCUAAAGUCAGUGGCGGUGCCGUCCGGCUCCGAGCGUAGUAAUUCUUCUCGCUCUGGAGGUCCGGUCGUGUGCUCGCCAGCAACCCCCAAUUUUUUUCAGGUUGACCUCGGAUCAGGUAGGGAUACCCGCUGAACUUAAGCAUAUCAAUAAGCGGAGGA
rnacentral:misc_RNA from 1 species